GGAAGGUCUGGGACUCAAUGGCAGAGCAUUUGUUUUGCAUGUAGAAGGCUCCAGGUUCAAACCCCAGGAUCUCCA
rnacentral:tRNA from 1 species